GGUCAUGAGCGUCAGCAACAAGCCCUGGCUUGCUGACCGGCAACCCUCGCAUCGCGGUGGGGUGCCCCAGGUGACGACCGGACCGGAUGACGUGACCGCACGGAUCCGGUAAGCGCGAGGG
rnacentral:ncRNA from 2 species